rnacentral:misc_RNA from 1 species
CAGAGUUGCAAAACUCCCACAAACCAUCGCGAAUCUUACCCGUACGGUUGCCUCGGCGCUGGCGGUCCGGAAGGCCCUCGGGCCCCCCGGAUCCUCGGGUCUCCCGCUCGCGGGAGGCUGCCCGCCGGAGUGCCGAAACCAAACUCUUGAUAUUUUAUGUCUCUCUGAGUAAACUUUUAAAUAAGUCC